rnacentral:rRNA from 1 species
GAUGAACGCUGGCGGCGUGCCUAAUACAUGCAAGUCGAGCGAACAGACGAGGAGCUUGCUCCUCUGACGUUAGCGGCGGACGGGUGAGUAACACGUGGAUAACCUACCUAUAAGACUGGGAUAACUUCGGGAAACCGGAGCUAAUACCGGAUAAUAUAUUGAACCGCAUGGUUCAAUAGUGAAAGACGGUUUUGCUGUCACUUAUAGAUGGAUCCGCGCCGCAUUAGCUAGUUGGUAAGGUAACGGCUUACCAAGGCAACGAUGCGUAGCCGACCUGAGAGGGUGAUCGGCCACACUGGAACUGAGACACGGUCCAGACUCCUACGGGAGGCAGCAGUAGGGAAUCUUGCGCAAUGGGCGAAAGCUUGACGGAGCAACGCCGCGUGAGUGAUGAAGGUCUUCGGAUCGUAAAACUCUGUUAUUAGGGAAGAACAAAUGUGUAAGUAACUAUGCACGUCUUGACGGUACCUAAUCAGAAAGCAACGGCUAACUACGUG